CUGUAAGUAGAGCAACAAUUGUUUAUAGGCAUCCAAAGCACUUAUCAAAAACAAUGGCUGAAAAUCUUUUUGUAAACACUGAUCUUUCCCUUGGUGGUCGAGUGGAGUUUGUUUUUAUCAAUGGUCUCAAUGGAUCAAAUCCUUUGAAAAGUCCACUACAUCCCCUUUUUUGGCGAACGAGCAUCUUCAGUGCGAUAAAUCUACCCAAUCAAGUGAAGGUCGGGGAAACAAUGUUGGUGUUAUUUCACAAAGUUCAAAGGAUAUCAACCAGUGGCGGAUCCAGCGAGGGGGUUUUGGAGUUAAACUACGUGUCAGUCAGUGGCGGACCCACGGGGGGUGUUUUAAUACAUAGACGCCAUACCCCCAAAACCCCCCCGCUGGAUCCGCCACUGAUAUCAACAGUCAAGUUCUGGUGGCCAAGAUAUCAAUCAAUUUGAUUUAUAUUAUUAAUUCAAAUUCUUCCGGAAAAGGCAUGGUUGAAACAUACAAAAAAGAAAAGGCCUUGGAUGAUAACUUACGCAAGCUAUUAGUUGAAUCGGUUUUACAAUAUUGUAUUAUGAACAACCACGAUCUUUCCGUUACUAAUUGCGCUUCUAUUUCACUUCAAAUUUGCGAAGUAUUCCCUGGCGAUUUGGCGGUAAACAACUAUUCUGACUUCAUUUCAAAAUUCACCUUUCCGUCUGUAUUAUAUCUUAAAAAAUUAUCACAGAAUGAACAUUAAAAUUAAUUUUACCCUUUCAGUCAUCCUAUUACCUUGAGCGAAAAAACGCAGCUCCGUUGGGCAAAUUAUACAACAAAUUCAUGAAUUGGAAAACAAAUUUCAAUAGAAAGACAAAGACUUCAGACGGUAAUUUGAAAAAAACGAAAGCAGAGGUCAUUUUCAAUAGUGGAAGAUGAGGACGAACAUAUUAGAGCGUUGACACAAGACCUCCAUGCAAUGGCUUAUCAGGAAAAAAUCAGACACUGGCGCGCGUGUUUUGCAACACGUAUGAAUAGCCGAGAAUAAUCCAAAACAGAUCUUCAAUGUUUGACCGCAAUACAAAUUGCCUGAUGGUUUUCGUUUGAAAUGAGGUCUUUGACAACCUCACUCCUUUUAGAAAUUUGCUUUUGGAUAACGUUUUUCCGAAUCGCGUCAAGGAAUUCAAAGAUUAUGCUAAUAUGUACUACACAAUAGAGAAAAACAAAGUCAAUCUCUCAGAAGAUUCCAUUUGCGCCAACGCUUUUGUUCUUCUACAGUCACUGCUGUCGACUCUGUUAGAAACUAGCACAUAAUAAGACUAAUGCAAAAAAAGGCUUUAUUCUCUCAAAGAGUCACUAGACAGUUUUAUGGCUGUUUGCGCAACUGAUACGGAAUAUAAACAAAUGUAUGAUUGCAAAGUCCAGGCAGUAUCUUCUAUUGCCCCCCUUCAUAUCAUUAAUUGGAACCCUAGACGAGACACAAUCAUUCAUGAUUGACUUUGACAACAUCACUUACAAAGUUUUCAACUUCGCGAAAGCUGUGGAUAUAUGCUUUAAAACAUACAUUGUUUUUAAUAUGGCCUACGCUGAGCCAUGCGCUGCAAUGUGGGACUUCAUAAACAGGCAAUUUUAUCAGUUAACUAUCAACGCCAAGCCCAAGCCAGGAAUAAACGCACUGCUUAAUGAAAUUAAAAUCGCAACGGAAACAAACCUCGAAGAAGCUACGAACCUGCCAAGUACCUCCACAUAAAAAUAUAAUAUAUAAGAAAGUGUAAAACCAUUAGUUUUUAUCUUUUCAUAAUUUAUAUCUUAAUUUUUUUAAUAAGAAUUUUGUUCGAGUUUCAUAAAUUAUAUUAGUAAAACUUUAAAUUAAAUGAAUAACAAUAAAUUUAAUUGAUGAAUGAAGUCAAUUUAAAUUAAUGAAACUAGAUUUAAAUUAAAGUUUGCGGUAAUAACACUGUGCAUCGAUAUACUUUAUUGAAUGAAGGCUAAGCAGUAAGAAAAAUACGUAGUAUAGAACCUAUUCGUACGCAUAUUAAUAAAAUACUUAAUUUUAAAUUGCUUAAACUUAUUACUUACGAUAGUUUUACUUGUAAUAUCUGCACUUCUUUCGUUGCACUAUAACAACCGUAGCUCAAAUGAUAACAACACUUCCAUUAUAUUUUAAUCAAUAAUGUUAAGCGUUGUUGC